rnacentral:lncRNA from 1 species
CGCAAGAGGAACAGAGUGUUGUCCCAGAAGCUUCAGCCAACUGGAGAAAAAGCAUCUGAAGCAAGUCAGACAUUCUCCAGUUGUGAUCAAGGAGAGAAAGAGAGGUCACCAGCAGGGAGAACUGCUCAUCUUGGGGAGGCUGAAGUGCUAGGAGAACCCUCUCCUUCAUGGUAGAGAGGAAAACUUCUGGGAAGAACCCCAAUGGAGAUGCAUCUGGCAAAUUGGUUUAUUGAGUCAACUGUCUGGGAAGGCUUUCAUAACUGGAAAAAGCUAGCAACAAGCCCAUAGCACUCAGAUCCCUGAUGAUGUUCUAGGAAUCCUAAGAUGGGAAUCUACAUAUACAGAUAAGGGUCUGCUAGGCACAAGUUACUGGAGACCAAGUGAACAAGACCAGGACACAGGAGGCACUAAGUGCCUGGUAUCUGAGACCAAGUAGCCAGAGAACAAACAGAAACUGCCAAUAGCCUGACCUCCACCACCUUGUCCCCGC